GAGGGAAUAGCUCAAGUGGUAGAGUACAUGCUUAGCAUGCACAAGGUCCUGGGUUCAAUCCCCAGUAUCUCCC
rnacentral:tRNA from 1 species